AUGCACUACCUGCACGCCGCGAUCAUCGAGGCGACGCGCCUGUACCCGCCGGUUACCUUCAACGGGAGGGUCGGCAACUACUCGGCGUACACGCGGAUGGAGAAGCUCGUGCCGGAGCACUGGCUCGGUAACGGCGGCGAGUUCGCGGCAGGGGACGCGGCGCACUACCCGGUGUUCCACGCAAGGCCUACGUGCAGAUGA
rnacentral:rRNA from 1 species